rnacentral:rRNA from 1 species
ACUCCUACGGGAGGCAGCAGUGGGGAAUAUUGCACAAUGGGCGCAAGCCUGAUGCAGCGACGCCGCGUGGGGGAUGACGGCCUUCGGGUUGUAAACCCCUUUCAGCACAGACGAAGCGCAAGUGACGGUAUGUGCAGAAGAAGCACCGGCCAACUACGUGCCAGCAGCCGCGGUAAUACGUAGGGUGCGAGCGUUGUCCGGAAUUACUGGGCGUAAAGAGCUCGUAGGUGGUUUGUCGCGUUGUCCGUGAAAACUCACAGCUUAACUGUGGGCGUGCGGGCGAUACGGGCAGACUGGAGUACUGCAGGGGAGACUGGAAUUCCUGGUGUAGCGGUGGAAUGCGCAGAUAUCAGGAGGAACACCGGUGGCGAAGGCGGGUCUCUGGGCAGUAACUGACGCUGAGGAGCGAAAGCGUGGGGAGCGAACAGGAUUAGAUACCCUGGUAGUCCACGCCGUAAACGGUGGGUACUAGGUGUGGGUUUCCUUCCUUGGGAUCCGUGCCGUAGCUAACGCAUUAAGUACCCCGCCUGGGGAGUACGGCCGCAAGGCUAAAACUCAAAGAAAUUGACGGGGGCCCGCACAAGCGGCGGAGCAUGUGGAUUAAUUCGAUGCAACGCGAAGAACCUUACCUGGGUUUGACACGCACAGGACGCUGGUAGAGAUAUCAGUUCCUUGUGGCCUGUGUGCAGGUGGUGCAUGGCUGUCGUCAGCUCGUGUCGUGAGAUGUUGGGUUAAGUCCCGCAACGAGCGCAACCCUUGUCUCAUGUUGCCAGCACGUCAUGGUGGGGACUCGUGAGAGACUGCCGGGGUCAACUCGGA